UGAGGAAUAUUGGUCAAUGGGCGAGAGCCUGAACCAGCCAAGUAGCGUGCAGGACGACGGCCCUAUGGGUUGUAAACUGCUUUUAUACGGGAAUAAAGUGAUGCCUGCGGGCGUUAUCCGGAUUUAUUGGGUUUAAAGGGAGCGUAGGCCGGAGAUUAAGCGUGUUGUGAAAUGUAGGCGCUCAACGUCUGCACUGCAGCGCGAACUGGUUUCCUUGAGUACGCACAAAGUGGGCGGAAUUCGUGGUGUAGCGGUGAAAUGCUUAGAUAUCACGAAGAACUCCGAUUGCGAAGGCAGCUCACUGGAGCGCAACUGACGCUGAAGCUCGAAAGUGCGGGUAUCGAACAGGAUUAGAUACCCUGGUAGU
rnacentral:rRNA from 1 species